rnacentral:piRNA from 1 species
UAUGAGGAAAUUACUUCUACAGCCUCUUGU